AGUGCAUGUAUAUAUAAACACAGGGUCAAGUGACCCAAACCCAAAACUUUCUUGACCAACUCUAUGGGAGAUUAGGUUAAUCCAAGCCCAUGUACACCCAUGACUCGACCUAAUCUCACCUAUCCUGGGCCCAGACCUGGCCCAUAAAGAGUUGGUCCAUUGAGGCCCACAUAACCUAGACCUCAAGAACCCGAAAGGCCCACAGCCUUUCAACCUAGGGCCCAACUAGCCCUAGAGCCUCGAUGAAGCCCUCAUGAAUGAUGGACUUUGGCCUUAGCCUUGGUCCCCUGGGCCUUGGGCACACCACCUAGAUCACAACAAUCUCCACCUUGGUGUCCCAAGGCCUCAACCAGCUCCACUCUGUCCAUCAGCCGAAUCAGCUCAACACAUCUCUGAAAGCUGUCCCGUGGAAGUACCUUCGUUAGUGCAUCAGCUGGGUUCUCCUUGGUAUGUACCUUUACCAGCU
rnacentral:lncRNA from 1 species